rnacentral:rRNA from 1 species
UACGAAGGGGGGCUAGCGUUGUUCGGAAUUACUGGGCGUAAAGCGCGCGCAGGCGGCUAUCCAAGUCAGUGGUGAAAGCCCGGAGCUCAACUCCGGAACUGCCAUUGAAACUGUUUAGCUGGAGUAUGAGAGAGGUGAGUGGAAUUCCCAGUGUAGAGGUGAAAUUCGUAGAUAUUGGGAAGAACACCCGUGGCGAAGGCGGCUCUCUGGGACGGUACUGACGCUGAGACGCGAAAGCGUGGGGAGCGAACAGG